CGUAGACUCCUACGGGAGGCAGCAGUGGGGAAUAUUGCACAAUGGGCGCAAGCCUGAUGCAGCCAUGCCGCGUGUAUGAAGAAGGCCUUCGGGUUGUAAAGUACUUUCAGCAGUGAGGAAGGUGGAUAUGUUAAUAGCAUAUUCAUUUGACGUUAGCUGCAGAAGAAGCACCGGCUAACUCCGUGCCAGGCAAGCCCGCGGUAAUACAGAGGGUGCGAGCGUUAAUCGGAUUUACUGGGCGUAAAGCGUGCGUAGGCGGCUUUUAAUGUCGGAUGUGAAAUCCCUGAGCUUAACUUAGGAAUUGCAUUCGAUACUGGAAAGCUAGAGUAUGGGAGAGGAUGGUAGAAUUCCAGGUGUAGCGGUGAAAUGCGUAGAGAUCUGGAGGAAUACCGAUGGCGAAGGCAGCCAUCUGGCCUAAUACUGACGCUGAGGUACGAAAGCAUGGGGAGCAAACAGGAUUAGAUACCCUGGUAG
rnacentral:rRNA from 1 species